CACCUGUAACUCACGUGACCCUGAUUAUUAUUGAAACGAGAACGAGGGCGUUGUGCCUUUAUAAGACUGCGUUAUUGUUUCCGUGGAGUUAUCCCUUCCGUUGUUGUUUAUUGAUUGUUAAACAUGGCUUCAUUUGCAAAGGUGGUUGUGUGUGUCCUCAUUGCUUGUGUCUGUAAUGCAUUCUGUUUUCCGAAGAGAGAUGUGAACUUUAAGGCCUCUGCAGUUGACCGCCAAAGUGAUGAUGUGGUUGUCACCACAACACCUGAUCCCCACAACCAGACCACAUCUGCCCAUACUGAAGCUGGUGGUGGUGCAAGUGAAGAUGCUGUGGCUACUUCCCCAGCACCUAAUCCACACAACCAGACAACUUCUGCACAAACUGAAGUUACUGAUGGAGCAAGUGAAGAUGCUGUGGCUACCACCCCAACACCAAAUCCCCCAACUACAUCUGACCACACUGCAGCUACCG
ensembl:lncRNA